GGCUGGUGGCUACUGUAUUAGAAUAGCACAUUGGCUGAUGUCUUACAACUAAUUGAUCACAGCCAGUUACAGAUUUCUUUGUUGCUUCUCCACUCCCACUGCUUCACUUGACUAGCCUUAA
ensembl:misc_RNA Y_RNA Y RNA